GCCAGUGUGGCAUAUUGGUUUGAGUGUUGGAAUGUGACUCUAGAGACCAGGUUCGAUUCCUGCUUGGCC
rnacentral:tRNA from 1 species